rnacentral:tRNA from 1 species
GCUCGUUAGCGACGCAGUUAGUGUCUGACUACCACUCUGGAGAUCCAGGGUUCAAUCCCCUGUCGGAGCU